rnacentral:rRNA from 1 species
AACGAACGCUGGCGGCAGGCCUAACACAUGCAAGUCGAGCGCCCCAGCGAUGGGAGCGGCGGACGGGUGAGUAACGCGUGGGAACGUGCCUCUUGCUACGGAAUAGCCUCGGGAAACUGGGAGUAAUACCGUAUGUGCCCUACGGGGGAAAGAUUUAUCGGCAAGAGAUCGGCCCGCGUUGGAUUAGGUAGUUGGUGGGGUAAUGGCCUACCAAGCCGACGAUCCAUAGCUGGUUUGAGAGGAUGAUCAGCCACACUGGGACUGAGACACGGCCCAGACUCCUACGGGAGGCAGCAGUGGGGAAUCUUAGACAAUGGGCGCAAGCCUGAUCUAGCCAUGCCGCGUGAGCGAUGAAGGCCUUAGGGUUGUAAAGCUCUUUCAGUGGGGAAGAUAAUGACUGUACCCACAGAAGAAGCCCCGGCUAACUCCGUGCCAGCAGCCGCGGUAAAGUACAGUGU